AGGUUCCGUCCCAUGAAACUUCCGGAAUUUAGGUCGAAACUUUGAGUCGCGAGCACAUUGGCGUUUCCACGGUGACCUGAAUGAAAAUAUGAGCGGAACGCUGUACGAAGGUCAACAGCAGUUUCAGGGCUGGGUCACCCCAUCAGUGAAGACUAUUAGAUGCCUGAAUGAGCUGAGGGGUUCUGUUGCCUUCAGAGUCAUUAUUGGACAAUAGAAGAGUCGUACACCGUUGGGUGUGAAUAAUAAAACUAAGCUACGAGUGGAAAAAGGAGGGUGUAUGUUAACCAGAGAAAAGAAAAUACAGGCCCAGUGAUCCCAGUGUUUCUAUAUGGCUUUGUAAUGUUUGUCAUCAUAAUUAGUAUGUGCGUUAUGCAAAUACAUGUUUUAUAAAAUGAUCCUUGUGAAGGAAUGCUUCUAUUAAUCUGCUUGCCCUUUACAUUUGGUUUCAUAAUUAUUAAAUAUAAAAACAAAAAUUAAAUGUGAUCAAGAUCGAAUGCAUAUUAGCUCAUUUAAAAACAAAAUGCAAGUGCAGAAUGAAUGCAAGAUCCUUUUAAUAAGCUUUUGAGAGAUUUAUAUAUUUUGUUUUGGAUGUCAAGAUUUCAAGAAUACACACAUAAGCAUUUUUUUAUGAAAGCGUUGAGUAACACAACAGCAUGUGAAACCCUGAACAUACCUUAGCUGUGAUAAGCAUUUCAGUCCAGACAAAUCUGGUUUUUCAUACAAAAAUGAUGCCAUUGUGAUAAGUCAUUGAUGAUUGAUUUAAUAAAAAAUAUGCUGUUGUUAUUUAAGGUAUUGUAGACAUUUAUGUAUAUACUACAACUAAUUUAAAUUCUUUUUCUCAAAAUCUCUCACAAAAUCAAAACAGACACUUUGGAGAAGGUGAUCAGCCCUUCAAGUACCAGAAGAAUAUUUUUUUUUUUUUGAUGGACACAGAAACUUUAAGAGUUAGUUCACUCAGAAAUGAAAAUUCUAUCAUUUACUCACCCUCAUGUUAUUCCAAACCGAUAAUACUUUGGUUUAUCUUUGAAACACAAAUUAAGAUAUUUUCAAUGACACCUGAGAUAUUUCUGUCCAUCCAUUGAGAGUUCAGGUAACCACAAUUUUGAAUAUCCUUUAAGGUCGUAAAGGCG
ensembl:lncRNA